AACCAUAGAAACCUGCGGAGUACCUGCGGAGGGAUCAUUAUAGUAUAUGGAAUCUCCAUUCUAUAAACCCACUCUGCGUAUCUUGUAACUGUUGCUUCCAUGGGACUUGGUUCCGCCACACCGGCUUCACGGCCGGUGAGCGCCCAUGGAAGGAGAAACAAAACUCUUCUUUGAAAUGUAGUCAGUCUGAACAAGUUUUUAUAAACGUUAAAACUUUUAACAAUGGAUCUCAGAUCGGAA
rnacentral:misc_RNA from 1 species